rnacentral:lncRNA from 1 species
GCCUUCGCUAGGUGUGAGCUCUAGAAAACUAGAUUCAUUUUUUAUGAAGCUACAAGCAUAAUUACUGUUUGGUGUGUUCAAUUGCUUAUGCUAUGCUGUUACUGGACCCUCUAACACACCCCAAUCAACCUGGCUGUGAUGAUUUAGACUGUGAUGAUGCCCCUGAGAUCCGCACCAAGUGAUUAGGACCCCCUGACACACCACAAUCAACCUGGCUCUGAUGAUUUAGACUAUGAUGAAGCCCCUGAGAUGAAUGAAGAAAGGAUUUACCCUGGGGAAUCAGUAACAAAGGGGGCAAUGCCUUAUGGCAAUAAUGCUCUUUUUUCUGCAUCAUCACCUGACUGGAACUGCCCUGAUAGACUUACUUGCGUUGCUGAAUUUGCUUGUCUCCAACAUCUAAAUAGCUCUUCAAAAAGUUUUUGGGUAAUCCAGCCCUGACAGCUGUCUCUCAUUUAUUUUGUGAUGAAUGCCAAAAUUACUUAGGAAAGCAACCCGAAGACACAAAUUGCUCACAUUGUGGAACGUCCUUCAUCAGAGAAACAAAAUGUUUUAAUUUUGUCAAUACCUUUGCGAGAUACAGUGGAGAACCAUGGAAUAAAUAUUUUGAGGAAAACGGUGAAGGAAGAAGAAAAUGAAAUCGAGGAUGUCAUGGAUGGAAAGCUGUACCAAACAGUACUGAAAGGGAAGAGACUAUCUGCUGAUGAUUUAACAUGAACCUGGAACUGUGAUGGAGUACCCAUUUUUAACUCCUCAAAUUACUCAGUUUGGCCCCUUCAAUUUACCAUAAAUGAACUGCCUUACAUACAUCGGAAAGAAAAUGUGAUGGUUGCAGGACUUUGGAUUGGCUCAGAAAAACCCAGAAUGGAUACCUUUUUAUUGAUUAAUGUUGCGAUUUAGCCCAAAACCCAUUACUUUGGAGAGAGAAGUGGGAUUCUGAAGAGGACAAAGGUCUUCUCCUUGAUUUUUUCCUCAGAUGCAAUUGCCAGGCCAAUCCUUCGUUACUGUAAGCAAUUCAAUGGUGAAUAUGGUUGUGACUGGUACUUGCACCCCGGUAAAGUUGUCCCCAAAGGCAGAGGAUAUGUAAGAUCCUUACAGUCAACAACUGCAAAUUGAAAGAUCACACAAUCAAUUUAAGGAUAAUGCAAUUCACGCUGCUCGCACUGACAUUCCGCAAAAUGGUGUGAAGGGGUUGUCAACACUGUUUUUGCUUCCGUUGUCCAACCAUAGAGACAGAAGUUGUAGAGUUAUGCCGAAGAAUGCAUGUAGUCAGGCACAAAACCAAACACAAUGUUGAACAAUGGAAGCAAAAACAGGAUACAUGCAACUGUUUGAAUCCAUGAUACAUAGAUCGACAAAUUACAGAAUUAGACACUGGACUGCUUAAUCUCAAGCCACCAAAGGAAAUCACAAGAAUGCCGCGAUCACUGCAUAUAAGAACAUUUUGAAAAGCACCGGAGUGUCGUGCAUUUUUUUUCUGUUUUAUUCAAUCACUGUUCUGCCUGGCAUCCUUCCGGCUCCAUUUCUACAGAAAAAAAAUAUAUAUACUUCCGUUCAGCAUGCAUAUUUUGCUUCAAGGAUCUAUUUCACAGUGUGACCUUAGAUUAGCUCACAUUUCUUUAGUCCUCUUUGUCAAGAAAAUGGAAGAAUUAUAUGGACAAGAAAAUGUUUCUUUCAAUUGUCAUCAGCUAAUCCACCUUACUGAUGGUGUACUGAAUUGGGGGCCUCUCAGGGCAACGUCAUCUUUUACAUUUGAGGGUAACAAUGGAUGUUUGAAAUCUCUUUUCCAUGGGACGCAGUGUGUUCCACAACAAAUUUGCCAGCUUUUCUUUCUUUGGCGAGUCAUUCCCAAACGUCUUAGUGUUUUAGGAUUUCACCCAGAGUCAGAGUUCGGUAUAUUCUUUACAAAGCUUGCAGACAGGAGACUGAAAGGAGAAAAAAAUCUCAGGCUCCCUCAAAACUCUAGGAAAAUCUGUACCUCUUCACCUCACAGCUUCUGUAUAACUUGCUGUAGAAUAACUAAUUACCCGGAUCUGUCUCGUCCCAGCCUGUGGAGUCAUACGGCCGAUUUUAAUUUAUGAACAGAUUGUUUAUCACACAACUAACAACAAAAUCUCAGAAAAAAGGGAUAAUGCCUCAGUCGUGUUCAAAAAUGGAUGUUGUGCACAACUGCUGUUCUUUUUCUUUGUUAGACUGAAUUGCAUUCGUCAAACAAACUGCUUAUGUCAACCUACUGUAACGCCCUGGCCAUAAAGAGGGGUUUUUGUUCUUUAUUUUGGUUAGGCCAGGGUGUUACAUUGGGUGGGCGUUCUAUGUUCCUUUUUCUAUGUUUUUGUAUUUCUUUGUUUUGGGCCGUGUGGCUCCCAAUCAGGCACAGCUGAAGCUCGUUGUUGCUGAUUGGGAGUCACACAUAAGGAGCAUGUUUUUCCUUUGGGUUUUGUGGGUAAUUGUUUCUGUUCAGUGUGUUUCUUGGCUGUCGGUUUUCCUGUUUUUUUUUUUUUUGGGUAUAGUGUUCUCUUUGUUUGAAUUAAAUGUCAAGAUGAACACUAACUCCGCUGCACCUUCUUCCGACGACAGCCCUUACACCUACUCCCAUUGUUGUGAUUCAACCAUAUGUAAUUCAAGCUGACAGUUUGUUCAUCCACUGCAAUCUAGGCAUCUCAAAUAAAAUUUGUGAAGUUGAGAGGUCAAGACAAAAAAAUAUAUCAAGUGUAAAUGUAUUUAUGUGGAUUGCUGGCUUGUCCCUCUGCCAAACACUUAUGAGAGAUUAGUUAUGGGUGUUUUUUAGUGAGCUGGUUGAUGUUAUUGAGCUGAUUUGAUAAUGAGAGCUGAUUCUCAUUUGCAAUGGUGACCUGGCCAAGAAAAGCAUCAACAUACCUUAGUUCAGGCCCGUCCAGUGUGAGGAUAUGUUAGGGACGUAAACCUUCCAGUUAAAAUGCAUGCAUUUAGUUUUGAGCACUAGUUGGAGAUCACAGAAUGUGUGUUGUAUGUCAAUGAAUCUGUGUGAUUCUAAUAGUAUCACACAUUGAAAACUUAUCAGGGACAUACAUCAGUGAUGCAAGGGCUAUCGCUUAUAUAUUGAAUUGUACAUGUUAACCACAUGUUCAAUGGAAUAGAUGUUUUUUUUAAAUAAAAAAUAAAUUAACAUUAAUAUAUUACUGGUCUGUUUUUACUAAGAUGCAACAUGUUUUUAAUGGAUGUAAUGUAUUGAAAGUAUCCAUCCCAAAAAUUCACACUACUUUAAAAGUAACCUGGCUAUACCCAUGUUGGAAUCUAAAAUAAAUAUUGGUUGGCUUUCUG